GAGGGUAUAGCUCAGUGGUAGAGUGCUUGUUUAGCAUGCAGGAGGUCCUGGGUUUAAUUCCCAGUACCUCCA
rnacentral:tRNA from 1 species